AAAGAAAACUAUUCAACUUGUGCUUCUCGCGAGAAUAGAGAACAUAGUGCGCGUGUGCAGAGCGGAGCUGAGUCAGUACAGUAGAAUUGCCAGAUGUUUCUGGCCUGGCUUACGCUAAAACAAUGUGGAAUUCAGGAAGUAUGCAGCCCCUAAAAGCAUGCUGCUAUUAACCGUAGCGGAACCGAACUCACAUCCGUUUAAGGACUGCCACCACAUUUUUAUACACCAAACUAUUUCCGGAAAGCUUUACAUAAUACUAUUUAAGAAUUGCUAUUUUAAAUGGAUAAUAACUUCACCAAACCAACAACAAUAACCAAAACACAAUUAUCAAAAAAUUUUACUAAAAAAUACAAAAUCUAUAAGACAUUAGGUGGCAUCUCUACGCAUCAACUAAUCAAGCUCUUCUCCAUUAGUGCUCCUACAAUGCACUCUAAAAAGAGCGUAGCUAUCUGAAAAAUUCGCGGUAAUAUUCAUUUGUGAGUACAUUUGGAGCGAACAAACCAACGAAAAAGAAAUUCGCAAAUAAAAUUGCAUCGAAAGUACAAAUCAUACUAUACAAAGUUACACAAACCAUAAAAUGCAUAAUCAACUGGCGGUAUUGCGAUUCUUUUGCUUCUACAACAUCCACAAUUAUGAGCAUGUAAUAUAUUCUCAAUUCUACAUUUUCAUUCCAGGACUAGCACAUGCUCACAGCAAGGUCGCUCUGCAAAAGUGUUGGCAACUCUGAGAUACUAUAUUUAAAUGCCCUUUGUAUACACAAUAAAAAACAACAAUUGCUUAAAAUCACAAUGCUUCUUAUCAAAGUGAAUGAGAUGUGAACGAUAACAAUAUGAAGUCAUUGCAUUUUGAGGCACCACAAUUAAAGAAACUUCAUAUUUAGUACUUAUUUCCAUACAAAAUACAAAAAUAAUUAUAUUAAAUAUUAAA